UAAAAGCCUAAAAGGACGUAUAGUAUUACCAUUAUCAUUCUCUUCAUAACUGAUGUAUGCAUUGGGCAGUGUUAGUAUGGCAACAAGUUUGCUUUUAUCAAUAUUAAAGCGAUAUAUCUGAAGUACUGAUCAUGAUUUUUACUAUAGGUAGUUGAAAGGGCUCGUUAUAGCUCCUUGUAUCAUCCAUUAGGACAGUACUUAUUUUCAUUGGUUUGCAUCUAUCAAUCUUCCCUCUUGACAGCCUUUAUCCCUGUUUAUAUAAGGUCACUUUUCUUCCAUUUUAUUUUGAUAUUUUUAAGGUUGUGGUUUUCUGACGUCACGCACCGCCUCUGGGGUUCGAAUCGUCUCGCCCCGGCUCCGAAUAUUCAAGACCGACGCUCUCUGACCCGCAAGACCGCCGCUUCAAACAGGAUUAAGGUAUGACAGAGGGGAUGACUGAAGAGGAUGUGUGGAAUGAAGAAACUAGUUCAGAAGAAUAUUUACCGAGAGGAUCCAAAGAAGAGCACAAAGGAGCCAACACAACCUUCCUCCAGCUGCCUUUAGGUACUGGAGGAGGGGGACACAGUGACCCAUCCUGGUGAUUGGCUACACAACCUUCCUCCAGCUGCCUUUAGGUACUGGGGGAGGGGGGACACAGUGACCCAUCCUGGUGAUUGGCUGUGUAGCUGGUUAUCUAAAAGGGCAAGUGAAAGAGUUCAGACACUCCCAACUAUGGUUUUAAAUUUUUUUUUUUUUUCUUGCUCUUAAUGUACUUGUUUCUUUGUAUAUGAUUAUACUGUAUAGUGAUAUAAUUUGGUAACAUGAUUGGGUAUAAUUUCUGUAACACACACUGCUGAAAGUACACUUCCUUUCAUUCAACACCUCCAGUCGUAGAGGACACUAAACUCACCUUCACGCUUCUGUUUUGCUUCCUCCCCUUGUUGUAGCCUGUCCAUAGAAUUCGAGGUCUGCUCACUUUGCCCUGGCAGGCUGAUGAGCUAUGAUGUCUCUCAUCCCUCACCAACUCUGUCCUCUCCCAGAGAGCAUGGUGCAUUCUCACCAGAGAUUAUGAAAUAACCCCAGUGAUGUUCAGAAAAAAUGACAACCAUAAUCACUAAUCUAAUCACAAGACGAAAAAUACACAAACUUUGUGAUUUAGGAAAAAAAUUGUCUUAAGCAUUUUUGUUUUUGUUUUGUCUGUAACUGCACUUCCUUGAUAAUUGAUCACAGAUUUAAAAUUACUAAACUGGGAACAAUACUCAAGAAAUUGCAGGAAGUUUGACCAAAAACGAGAAAAAUCUUGAGGUAUACAAGUUUCUGAGUUAUGAAAAUAAUGAUAAGUCAGUUUUUCUAAACAUCCUGCAGUUAUUUCGUAAUCUUGGAUGAUUGUACAUGUGUGUGGAGGAGGACUGAGCUGCUGAGGGAUGAGUGAUGGCACAGUUCAGCCUGCCAGAGCAGAGUAGACCCAGGUGAAAGUUGAGGCUUUGCUGGGCAGACUGGAAUAAGGGGGAUGCAAGUUUAAAGGAAGAGCAAGCAUGUCUGUCCAUUAGUUAAGAGAAAACAAGUGACCACCCCAAUAAUUACAUCCACUCCUGCAUCCACACCACCUAGUACAGUCAGUUAUUCUGAGGAGGGUAAUACAGUCUGGCCACGAGAUUCCUCUUAACUCUGUACAGCCUCACUUGUUCUCCCUUCAAGCAUCAUCCAUUGUGCCUUGCCAGCCUCCCUAGCAUUGCCCCAAGUCAUCUGUGGUGCUGUUGUGAUCCUGUGUUGAGUGUGUCAACAGGAUUGCAGUUUGCAGCCAGUUCCUCCACCUGGAAAAAGUUAAGAGAAAUUACUAAGAGUCUGCAGAUGAGUCCAUGUACAGCUAAGUACAACAAUCCAAAUAUAUAGAUAAAAAUGG